rnacentral:rRNA from 1 species
CCUACGGGAGACAGCAGUGAGGAAUAUUGGUCAAUGGGCGCGAGCCUGAACCAGCCAAGUCGCGUGAGGGAUGAAGGUUCUAUGGAUCGUAAACCUCUUUUAUAAGGGAAUAAAGUGUGGGACGUGUCCUAUUUUGUAUGUACCUUAUGAAUAAGGCUCGGCUAACUCCGUGCCAGCAGCCGCGGUAAUACGGAGGAUCCGAGCGUUAUCCGGAUUUAUUUGGUUUAAAGGGUGCGUAGGCGGCCUUUUAAGUCAGGGGGGAAAGAUUCGGGCUCAAACAUAGACUUGCCGUUGAAACUGGGGGGCUUGAGUAGGCGAGAGGCAGGCGGAAUGCGUGGUGUAGCGGUGAAAUGCUUAGAUAUCACGCAGAACCCCGAUUGCGAAGGCAGCCUGCC